CUCUCUGAGUGUUCUCGAUCCAGCGAAUAAGGGGUUUCCUUAAACCCACUGGGUACGAGGUCGAGGAAACACUAAUCCACCUCAAACAUGCCUAGCAUUGUGGGUUACACAAAUGCUAUAUGGUCAAUACAUGACUAAUACUAAACCCCGUAAAAUAACACAAGGUUUCAAGUAGUAAUCACAACCUCAAUCAAACACAUUCUAGAAUCCAAUAUAA
rnacentral:lncRNA from 1 species